rnacentral:rRNA from 1 species
GAUGAACGCUAGCGGCAGGCCUAAUACAUGCAAGUCAAGGGGGCAGCAAUGUCACCGGCGGACGGGUGCGUAACGCGUACACAACAUACCUUUAAGCGGGGGAUAGCAUUGGGAAACUGGUGGUAAUACCCCAUAACAUUGCGAGGUGGCAUUACUUUGCAAUUAAAGUUACGGCGCUUAGAGAUUGGUGUGCGUCUGAUUAGCUAGUUGGCGGGGUAAAGGCCCACCAAGGCGACGANCAGUAGGGGGUGUGAGAGCAUGACCCCCCACAUGGGUACUGAGACACGGACCCAACUCCUACGGGAGGCAGCAGUAAGGAAUAUUGGACAAUGGACGGAAGUCUGAUCCAGCCAUGCCG